rnacentral:rRNA from 1 species
UACGUAGGGGGCAAGCGUUGUCCGGAUUUAUUGGGCGUAAAGAGCGUGUAGGCGGCCAGACAGGUCCGUUGUGAAAACUCGAGGCUCAACCUCGAGAUGUCGAUGGAAACCGUCUGGCUAGAGUCCGGAAGAGGAGUGUGGAAUUCCGUGGUGUAGCGGUGAAAUGCGCAGAUAUCAGGAAGAACACCUAUGGCGAAGGCAGCACUCUGGGACGGUACUGACGCUGAGACGCGAAAGCGUGGGGAGCGAACAGG